UGAAAAUAAAACGGUUAGCUUCAAUUUAAUUAAACUAAAAGAAAAGCUAGUUAAAUAACGAAUCCUAGAGAUAA
rnacentral:tRNA from 1 species